rnacentral:rRNA from 1 species
GACGAACGCUGGCGGCGUGCCUAAUACAUGCAAGUUGAGCGCUGAAGGUUGGUACUUGUACCAACUGGAUGAGCAGCGAACGGGUGAGUAACGCGUGGGGAAUCUGCCUUUGAGCGGGGGACAACAUUUGGAAACGAAUGCUAAUACCGCAUAAAAACUUUAAACACAAGUUUUAAGUUUGAAAGAUGCAAUUGCAUCACUCAAAGAUGAUCCCGCGUUGUAUUAGCUAGUUGGUGAGGUAAAGGCUCACCAAGGCGAUGAUACAUAGCCGACCUGAGAGGGUGAUCGGCCACAUUGGGACUGAGACACGGCCCAAACUCCUACGGGAGGCAGCAGUAGGGAAUCUUCGGCAAUGGACGAAAGUCUGACCGAGCAACGCCGCGUGAGUGAAGAAGGUUUUCGGAUCGUAAAACUCUGUUGGUAGAGAAGAACGUUGGUGAGAGUGGAAAGCUCAUCAAGUGACGGUAACUACCCAGAGAGGGACGGCUAACUACGU